UGGCCUGGUGAUUAUUGCGGAGUGCCCCCACCCGUUCCCAUCCCGAACACGGCCGUGAAACAUUCCAGCGCCGAUGGUACUAAGUCUCAAGACUUGGGAGAGUAGGUCGUCGCCAGGCUU
rnacentral:rRNA from 1 species